AGAGUGAACGCUGGCGGCAGGCCUAACACAUGCAAGUCGAACGGCAGCACAGGAGAGCUUGCUCUCUGGGUGGCGAGUGGCGGACGGGUGAGGAAUACGUCGGAAUCUGCCUAUUUGUGGGGGAUAACGUAGGGAAACUUACGCUAAUACCGCAUACGACCUACGGGUGAAAGCGGAGGACCUUCGGGCUUCGCGCAGAUAGAUGAGCCGACGUCGGAUUAGCUAGUUGGCGGGUAAAGGCCCACCAAGGCGACGAUCCGUAGCUGGUCUGAGAGGAUGAUCAGCCACACUGGAACUGAGACACGGUCCAGACUCCGUACGGGAGCAGCAGUGGGGAAUA
rnacentral:rRNA from 1 species